rnacentral:rRNA from 1 species
UAAAACUCAAAUGAAUUGACGGGGGCCCGCACAAGCGGUGGAGCAUGUGGUUUAAUUCGAUGCAACGCGAAGAACCUUACCUGGUCUUGACAUCCACGGAAGUUUUCAGAGAUGAGAAUGUGCCUUCGGGAACCGUGAGACAGGUGCUGCAUGGCUGUCGUCAGCUCGUGUUGUGAAAUGUUGGGUUAAGUCCCGCAACGAGCGCAACCCUUAUCCUUUGUUGCCAGCGGUCCGGCCGGGAACUCAAAGGAGACUGCCAGUGAUAAACUGGAGGAAGGUGGGGAUGACGUCAAGUCAUCAUGGCCCUUACGACCAGGGCUACACACGUGCUACAAUGGCGCAUACAAAGAGAAGCGACCUCGCGAGAGCAAGCGGACCUCAUAAAGUGCGUCGUAGUCCGGAUUGGAGUCUGCAACUCGACUCCAUGAAGUCGGAAUCGCUAGUAAUCGUGGAUCAGAAUGCCACGGUGAAUACGUUCCCGGGCCUUGUACACACCGCCCGUCACACCAUGGGAGUGGGUUGCAAAAGAAGUAGGUAGCUUAACCUUCGGGAGGGCGCUUACCACUUUGUGAUUCAUGACUGGGGUGAAGUCGUAACAAGGUAACCGUAGGGGAACCUGCGGUUGGAUCACCUCCUU